rnacentral:rRNA from 1 species
UGCAGUCGAACGGUAAGGCACCUUCGGGUGUACACGAGUGGCGCACGGGUGAGUAACGCGUGGGUAAUCUGCCUUCGGGUUUGGGACAACUCCGGGAAGCUGGAGCUAAUACCGAAUAAGACCACGGAGUCUCCGGACUUCGCGGAAAAAGGUGGCCUCUUCUUGAAAGCUAUCGCCUGUAGAUGAGCCCGCGUCCCAUUAGUUUGUUGGUGAGGUAAAAGCUCACCAAGGCAUCGAUGGGUAGCUGGUCUGAGAGGACGAUCAGCCACACUGGAACUGAGACACGGUCCAGACUCCUACGGGAGGCAGCAGUAGGGAAUCUUGGUCAAUGGGGGAAACCCUGAACCAGCAACUCCGCGUGAGGGAUGAAGGCCUUCGGGUCGUAAACCUCUGUCGGGAGGGAGGAAAGGGCCGUCGGCUAAUACCCGGCAGCUUUGACGGUACCUCCAAAGGAAGCGCCGGCUAACUCCGUGCCAGCAGCCGCGGUAAUACGGAGGGCGCAAGCGUUGUUCGGAAUCAUUGGGCGUAAAGCGGGUGUAGGCGGCUUGGCAAGUCGGGUGUGAAAUCCCUGGGCUCAACCCAGGAACUGCACUCGAAACUGCUUCGCUAGAGUCUCGGAGAGGGUGGCGGAAUUCCCGGUGUAGAGGUGAAAUUCGUAGAUAUCGGGAGGAACACCAGUGGCGAAGGCGGCCACCUGGACGAUGACUGACGCUCAGACCCGAAAGCGUGGGGAGCAAACAGGA